rnacentral:rRNA from 1 species
ACUCGAGUGGCGAACGGGUGAGUAACACGUGGGUGAUCUACCCUGCACUUCGGGAUAAGCUUGGGAAACUGGGUCUAAUACCGGAUAGGAGCCAUCUUUAGUGUGGUGGUUGGAAAGUUUUUCGGUGUAGGAUGAGCUCGCGGCCUAUCAGCUUGUUGGUGGGGUAAUGGCCUACCAAGGCGGCGACGGGUAGCCGGCCUGAGAGGGUGUACGGCCACAUUGGGACUGAGAUACGGCCCAG